GCCGAGAUCGCAUAACCUGGUAUUGCACCGAUUCAGAAGAGUUAAUACUCCUGAAGUGUAAGCCUUGAAAACAAGAUAAAUAUCAGGUGAGCCGGGCCCGAAAGGGCAUCUGGGUUCAAAUCCCAGUCUCGGCG
rnacentral:tRNA from 1 species